UGGUAAUUUGUUGUUUGACAUAUGUAUACAAAUUGACAAUUCAUUAGCCGUUAUAGGAAAACAUCAAUUGGAAAUUGAGUUUAAACAGAAAGACAUGUUGAAGUUUUUAAUAAUACAUAUUAGUGUAUGAUAUUUUUAUUAUAUAUUAUUAGAGUUUAUAUUGUUUAUAUUGUGUAUUAGUGUUGUUGCUGAAAUAAAGCAAGAUUAAGAAGAACCCCGAAAUCUUGUGUGUGCAGAUGUCCGGCAGCUGAAUCCUUCUAUAAAUUCCCAUCGGAACGAGAAUUAUCAAGGCAUGAAUUUAUUUUGGAAUAUGUGUUAGGCUGCCUUUCCACCAAUACAAACUACCCAAGUGAAGUGGUUUUGUUUUUUUCUGGAUGGCCUACGGAAUACAAUUUCAGUUAAGAACAUUUUUUAAGUAUAAUGAAAACUAUAUUAGUUUUAAUUAGGUUAA